UACAGAGGGGGCAAGCGUUAUUCGGAAUUAUUGGGCGUAAAGGGCGCGUAGGCGGCCAUUCAAGUGACGGGUGAAAGCCCUCGGCUUAACCGAGGAACUGCCUGUCAGACUGGAUGGCUUGAGACCGGGAGAGGUGAGUGGAAUUCCCAGUGUAGCGGUGAAAUGCGUAGAUAUUGGGAGGAACACCAGUGGCGAAGGCGGCUCACUGGACUGGUACUGACGCUGAGGCGCGAAAGCGUGGGGAGCAAACAGG
rnacentral:rRNA from 1 species